UCCAAAAGGAAAAUUACAAUAAUUUAUAUCCCUCCUUUUCUUUGCACUUGCCACAUUCCCACUGACUACCAGUGACACCCUGUGUCAGAAAAAGUCUUCUAUGAUGUCAAAGGAGGCUCACAUUAAGUAAUGUAGAAAACAGGUUUGCCUAGGCUAUGCACUUAUGGGGCCAAAUGCACUUUUUAUUCUUAGAUUUGACCACCACAGAGAAUUAACAAAUAGGUCAACCUAACAAAGAUAUACUUGGUGUUCUUGUCUCUCGCCUUGGAAGUAUGCUGACAAUCUCCAGCGUGUUGUUUCUACUGGAUGCCUCUAGUUCCUCCCCAGAUGCCACCAUUCUCUCCUGAAGUCACUCCAAUCAAGCUUUCCUCUGUUCACUCUACAGAAACUGUUCUUAUCAUGGACACCAGUGACUUCUCCAGGUUAAUGAAUCCAAUGACAAUAGUUAGCCCCAAACUUA